rnacentral:rRNA from 1 species
UACGUAGGGUGCAAGCGUUGUCCGGAUUUAUUGGGCGUAAAGAGCUCGUAGGCGGUUUUGAAAGUCAGGUGUGAAACCUCCAGGCUCAACCUGGAGACGCCACUUGAUACUUCAAUGACUAGAGUUUGGUAGGGGUGAGUGGAAUUCCUGGUGUAGCGGUGAAAUGCGCAGAUAUCAGGAGGAACACCGAUGGCGAAGGCAGCUCACUGGGCCAAUACUGACGCUGAGGAGCGAAAGCGUGGGGAGCGAACAGG